AGGUUAAGUGACUAAGCGUACACGGUGGAUGCCUAGGCAGUCAGAGGCGAUGAAGGACGUGCUAAUCUGCGAAAAGCGCCGGUGAGCUGAUAUGAAGCGUUAUCAGCCGGCGAUGUCCGAAUGGGGAAACCCGGUGCAAUUCGUUGCAUCAUCGUUAAGUGAAUCCAUAGCUUAACGAAGCGAACCAGGGGAACUGAAACAUCUCAGUACCCUGAGGAAAAGAAAUCAACCGAGAUUCCCCCAGUAGCGGCGAGCGAACGGGGAACAGCCCAGAGCCAUCAUCAGCUUGCGCAUCAGGAGAACGGUCUGGAAAGUCCGGCGACAGAGGGUGAUAGCCCCGUAUCCGAAGGUGUGCUUGUUGUGAGCUCGAUGAGUAGGGCGGGACACGUGAUAUCCUGUCUGAAGAUGGGGGGACCAUCCUCCAAGGCUAAAUACUCCUGACUGACCGAUAGUGAACCAGUACCGUGAGGGAAAGGCGAAAAGAACCCCGGCGAGGGGAGUGAAAUAGAACCUGAAACCGUGUACGUACAAGCAGUGGGAGCAUCCUUCGGGGUGUGACUGCGUACCUUUUGUAUAAUGGGUCAGCGACUUAUAUUCUGUAGCAAGGUUAACCGUAUAGGGGAGCCGCAGGGAAACCGAGUCUUAACUGGGCGUCUAGUUGCAGGGUAUAGACCCGAAACCCGGUGAUCUAGCCAUGGGCAGGUUGAAGGUUGGGUAACACUAACUGGAGGACCGAACCGACUAAUGUUGAAAAAUUAGCGGAUGACUUGUGGCUGGGGGUGAAAGGCCAAUCAAACCGGGAGAUAGCUGGUUCUCCCCGAAAGCUAUUUAGGUAGCGCCUCGUGACGUCAUCUACGGGGGUAGAGCACUGUUUCGGCUAGGGGUCCAUCCCGGAUUACCAACCCGAUGCAAACUGCGAAUACCGUAGAAUGUAAUCACGGGAGACACACGGCGGGUGCUAACGUCCGUCGUGAAGAGGGAAACAACCCAGACCGCCAGCUAAGGUCCCAAAGUCAUGGUUAAGUGGGAAACGAUGUGGGAAGGCACAGACAGCCAGGAUGUUGGCUUAGAAGCAGCCAUCAUUUAAAGAAAGCGUAAUAGCUCACUGGUCGAGUCGGCCUGCGCGGAAGAUGUAACGGGGCUAAACCAUGCACCGAAGCUGCGGCAGCGACACGUAAGUGUUGUUGGGUAGGGGAGCGUUCUGUAAGCCUGCGAAGGUGGCCUGUGAGGGCUGCUGGAGGUAUCAGAAGUGCGAAUGCUGACAUAAGUAACGAUAAAGCGGGUGAAAAGCCCGCUCGCCGGAAGACCAAGGGUUCCUGUUCAACGUUAAUCGGAGCAGGGUGAGUCGACCCCUAAGGCGAGGCCGAAAGGCGUAGUCGAUGGGAAACAGGUUAAUAUUCCUGUACUGGGUGUGACUGCGAAGGGGGGACGGAGAAAGCUAGGUUCGCCGGGCGACGGUUGUCCCGGUUCAAGCGUGAAGGUGGAAUGAGCAGGCAAAUCCGCUCAUUCUUAACACUGAGGCGUGAUGACGAGCCACUACGGUGGUGAAGGAAUUGAUGCUACGCUUCCAGGAAAAGCCUCUAAGCUCCAGGUCACAUCGAAUCGUACCCCAAACCGACACAGGUGGUCAGGUAGAGAAUACCCAGGCGCUUGAGAGAACUCGGGUGAAGGAACUAGGCAAAAUGGUGCCGUAACUUCGGGAGAAGGCACGCUGGCAUGUAGGUGGAGGGCCUUGCGCCCCGAGCUGAAGCCAGUCGCAGAUACCAGCUGGCUGCAACUGUUUAUUAAAAACACAGCACUGUGCAAACACGAAAGUGGACGUAUACGGUGUGACGCCUGCCCGGUGCCGGAAGGUUAAUUGAUGGGGUUAUCGCUUGCGAGAAGCUCUUGAUCGAAGCCCCGGUAAACGGCGGCCGUAACUAUAACGGUCCUAAGGUAGCGAAAUUCCUUGUCGGGUAAGUUCCGACCUGCACGAAUGGCGUAAUGAUGGCCAGGCUGUCUCCACCCGAGACUCAGUGAAAUUGAACUCGCCGUGAAGAUGCGGUGUACCCGCGGCAAGACGGAAAGACCCCGUGAACCUUUACUAUAGCUUGACACUGAACAUUGAGCCUUGAUGUGUAGGAUAGGUGGGAGGCUUUGAAGUGUGGACGCCAGUCUGCAUGGAGCCAACCUUGAAAUACCACCCUUUAAUGUUUGAUGUUCUCACUCAGGCCCGUUAUCCGGGCCGAGGACAGUGUCUGGUGGGUAGUUUGACUGGGGCGGUCUCCUCCCAAAGUGUAACGGAGGAGCACGAAGGUUAGCUAAUCACGGUCGGACAUCGUGAGGUUAGUGCAAAGGCAUAAGCUAGCUUGACUGCGAGAGUGACGGCUCGAGCAGGUGCGAAAGCAGGUCUUAGUGAUCCGGUGGUUCUGAAUGGAAGGGCCAUCGCUCAACGGAUAAAAGGUACUCCGGGGAUAACAGGCUGAUACCGCCCAAGAGUUCAUAUCGACGGCGGUGUUUGGCACCUCGAUGUCGGCUCAUCACAUCCUGGGGCUGAAGUAGGUCCCAAGGGUAUGGCUGUUCGCCAUUUAAAGUGGUACGCGAGCUGGGUUUAGAACGUCGUGAGACAGUUCGGUCCCUAUCUGCCGUGGGCGCUGGAAGAUUGAGAGGGGCUGCUCCUAGUACGAGAGGACCGGAGUGGACGCACCACUGGUGUUCGGGUUGUCAUGCCAAUGGCAUUGCCCGGUAGCUACGUGCGGAAGAGAUAACCGCUGAAAGCAUCUAAGCGGGAAACUUGCCUCGAGAUGAGUCUUCCCUGAGGCCUAGAGCCUCCUGAAGGGACGUUAAAGACGAUGACGUUGAUAGGUCGGGUGUGUAAGCGCUGCGAGGCGUUGAGCUAACCGAUACUAAUGACCCGUGAGACUUAACCUUACAACAC
rnacentral:rRNA from 1 species